rnacentral:sRNA from 1 species
GGGGAGAACGGGGAUGGUCCCCCCACGGGCUGCAAACCCGUUGGCCCAACCUGUAGAGCAGGAGGGUGUCGGUUCGAUUCCGACUUCUCCCCUCCA